GGAACUUCAACUUUAUCUAUGUUUCGAUUUUUCCAUUAAAAGAAAAAAAACAGGGCUGGAUUUGUGACUCAGUGGUAGCUCACUUGUCUAGUGUGUGUGAGGCACUAGGUUCAAUCCUCAGCACUACAUAUAAAUAAUGAAUAAAAUAAAUGUCCAUAAAUAUCUAAAAUAAUAUUUAAAGGAAAAAACAUGAUAAAACAUUAAUAGUAAGUCUGGAUUUUGGUCAGUGCAUUCUUAAAAUUUAUCACUACAUUGUUCAAGUUAAAAGUUACUUUAUUUGAACUAAUGCAUGUCCAGGUCUUCAGAGUAAGGAGUAAGGAGUGAUGGAAACAGGCAGUUCAUAUCUUUUUAAAAAAUAUUUAUUCUUUUUAGUUGUAGUUGGACACAAUACCUUUAUCACUUUAUUAUUAUAUGGUGCUGAGGAUUGAACCCAGGGCCUCACACAUGCUAAGUGAGCGCUCUACCGCUGAGCUACAACCCCAGUCCCAGUUCAUAUCUUAAUACAAGUCAGUGGAGGCCUGAGUUAAUCUUGGGUGCAAAAGAUGUUCAUUCACCGAGGCACAGCACCCACCCCACUAAAAGCUAGUCCAGCUAAGACCACUGACAGCAUCUGAUCCCGUCUGGAGGCAGCAAGCUUUCCUUUAACCUGGCUUGAUAGUUCUAAGACCCUUUAAACCUGCCAGGUUCUCAAAUAUUGCAUACAAAGCACCAAUGACCCCUGAGAGAAGACAAUCUUUAUUUUUACAACUGUUCCAUACACACACUCAGCUACUCAUAAGUUCCUUCUAGUCAUCCUAUUUCUUUCCUAGUUCCUAUAAGAAAACUGGCAAAUUCCUUUUAACCAUGAUCCACUGGUGGAAUAGCAGUAUGGUUGCUUUAACGACCCUUGUUUUGCAGCCACUGUGGCACAGAACCUGAUAUCCACCCUCUAGGACAUGUGACAUGUGGUCACACAUACCAAUCCCAAUCACCACUGUUGGAGACAGUUGUAUAUAACUACUAAGUCAUCUCUGUAUGUACAAUGAACCCCUUAGAAAGCAGUGGUGAGAUGUGGAGAUUAAGAAUUAUUGUAAGUCAGCUAAAUUCAUUUCUGGACAAGAGCAAACUGAUUCAGCUUAAAUCAGAUUCAAUGGCUGUAGAAAUUUGGUUAUGUCCCCAAGUACUUCCUCCUACCUAGAGGAGGCCUCAUACAGUAGAGGCACUGAUUAUCUGAGGGGGAUGUGUGUAUGGAAGUGUGGGAAAGGGAAGGGGAGGUUGUAAGGGAUGUUUAGGACCUUGGACUAAAUUUCUGUGUCCCAUGAAAUCAGUAAGUAUACAUUAAGACUGUCUAGGCUUGCUUUCCCUCAAACUGGGGCUGGUGGCAUGGGAGGCCUAUCACAGACACCUCAAGACCAUCAUGAAGGGGAUGGCACACAAAAGUAAGGAGAGGGAGAUAUAGGCAUUAUCUCCUGGGGGCAUCAGGGCUUUCCCCAAAGUUCACACAAAUGGGGGCUGCUGUGAAAGCAGUGUUAUAAGUAGCAAUCCCAUUCCAAGGGCGAGACCCUAUUCUCAACCUUAUCCUGGUCACCUCACAGAGACCCACAAUGGAAAAGUUGCAGAAGUGCUCUUUUAUGUUGGAUGUGUAAGAGCUGAGAAUAGAAAAUACCUGUAACUAUGCUUAUUCAUCUCAGGAGCCCAAGUGCCUACCACUACAGAAUAGAACAAAGAAUGCGUGGAUGGAUGGACAGAAGGGCAGAUAGGCUGGAUGCCCAACCCACAACUACAUCCUCCUUUGUGCCACUGAAAACUCAGUCUUGAAUCCUAGUCCAGUGCCCUAGAUUCAGACUGCAGAAAACUUAAAACAUAGCUCUUAAAGUUAUAAAGUCUAAGCUGUACAGGUCAUAAAGGACCAUUAUUCUAAACUCUUUUCAUGUGUGUGCAGGUGUAAAUAAGCCUUGAAUUCAGGAUCUAGAGCAUGCUAGAAAAGCAUUCUACUACUAAGCUAUACUCCCAACCUACCUCACCACUUUUUCAUUUUGGGCUAAGUUGCCAAGACUGACCUCAAAUUUGUAAUCCUCUUGCCUCAACCUCCUUAGUAGCUGGUAUUAUAG
rnacentral:lncRNA from 1 species